GAGAGUUUGAUCCUGGCUCAGGACGAACGCUGGCGGCGUGCCUAACACAUGCAAGUCGAGCGGGAAACAAGAGACUGAUCCCUUCGGGGUGAAGUCUUUUGUGGAGAGCGGCGGACGGGUGAGUAACGCGUGAGUAACCUGCCUGUAAGAGGGGGAUAACACAGAGAAAUCUGUGCUAAUACCGCAUAUUGAAGUUUUUCCGCAUGGGGAAGCUUUGAAAGAUUUAUCGCUUACAGAUGGACUCGCGUCUGAUUAGAUAGUAGGCGGGGUAACGGCCCACCUAGUCGACGAUCAGUAGCCGAACUGAGAGGUUGAUCGGCCACAUUGGGACUGAGACACGGCCCAGACUCCUACGGGAGGCAGCAGUGGGGAAUAUUGCGCAAUGGAGGAAACCCUGACGCAGCAACGCCGCGUGAAGGAUGACGGCCUUCGGGUUGUAAACUUCUGUCGCAGAGGAAGAAGAAAGUGACGGUACUCUGUGAGAAAGCCACGGCUAACUACGUG
rnacentral:rRNA from 1 species